rnacentral:rRNA from 1 species
UACGGAGGGUGCAAGCGUUAAUCGGAAUUACUGGGCGUAAAGCGUGCGUAGGUGGUUCGUUAAGUCCGUUGUGAAAGCCCCGAGCUCAACUUGGGAAUUGCAGUGGAUACUGGCGAGCUGGAGUGCGGUAGAGGAAGGUGGAAUUCCCGGUGUAGCGGUGAAAUGCGUAGAGAUCGGGAGGAACACCAGUGGCGAAGGGCGGCCUUCUGGACCAGCACUGACACUCAAGCACGAAAGCGUGGGGAGCAAACAGG